AGCGAACGCUGGCGGCAGGCCUAACACAUGCAAGUCGAACGAACCUUUCGGGGUUAGUGGCGGACGGGUGAGUAACACGUGGGAACGUGCCUUUAGGUUCGGAAUAACUCAGGGAAACUUGUGCUAAUACCGAAUGUGCCCUUCGGGGGAAAGAUUUAUCGCCUUUAGAGCGGCCCGCGUCUGUUUAGCUAGUUGGUUGAGGUAAUGGCUAACCAAGGCGACGAUCAGUAGCUGGUCUGAGAGGAUGAUCAGCCACAUUGGGACUGAGACACGGCCCAAACUCCUACGGGAGGCAGCAGUGGGGAAUCUUGCGCAAUGGGCGAAAGCCUGACGCAGCCAUGCCGCGUGAAUGAUGAAGGUCUUAGGAUUGUAAAAUUCUUUCACCGGGGACGAUAAUGACGGUACCCGGAGAAGAAGCCCCGGCUAACUUCGUG
rnacentral:rRNA from 1 species